UCAAAAGUGUUAAAUAAUGUGGUGUUAGUAGACUUUGCUCAAAGGCAGUGUUAAUUUAGCUCUUAAUAGAGUUAUAUUAUACAAAUUUAACUCUGAGGUCUCAAAUUUUAGUAGUUAAAAUUGAGUGUUAAAAAAUAAUGUUGCAUAACAAAUCUGGGGGUGUUAAAAUGGAAAAAAACAACUCUUUGUUUAUCAACUCUGAACUCCUAUAGUGGAUUUGACACCCAAAGAGUACAUUCACAGACUCCGCCUCCAAUGCUACAGGAACCGAACGAAGCUGAGGAAAACUUUACUCUCCAUUUUGCUGUUAUAAAGACCCGUUUACCCAGCCUGAUUGAUCAGGAUUUCUCGAUGAUGUUUGGGGAUGAAGUUUCUGGAAGAUUUCUCACGAAGUGGCUUUCAUAUUUCAAGCAAAAAAGUGUUCACAGAAAGCCAAAGUCUUUCAUCAAGACCCUGGGUUGACGAGUUACAAGCUUCUGUUGACCCGGAACAUCCAUCUGUCUUUGGCUGGGAUAGUGACAUUGCAGCUCUUCUGCUGUUGCUGCAUCUGCUGCCCCCCACAUCUAGAGGCCACAAAAAAAACCCAGCAAAGAUUAGCUCUGCACAGGCAGCCAAUCAUCUCCUAAGAUUUGUCAAGGAAGGAGUCAGCCUUACUACUUUCCUGAAGCAAGUGGACACCAGACAACCAUUCCUUCUCUGCAAGAACAUUCAGAGAUUUUUCAUUGUUGUGGAUCAGAGAGCUAUCCCCUGUGAUGCUCCAACAUCAGUGGCUGCUUUUGAUGGGCUAUUCAAAGCACACUUUGUCUUCAGCCUGUCAUAUGAUGAGGCUCUUUGCAGUUUUUACACAUUUAGUUUUUACACAAAACUAUUGUUUCAAAAGAUUUGAAUAUGGUCCUUUAAAAUCAAGAGCAGCCAAUGGCCUGGAAGGUGGAGAUCUACUUUCUAACACCUUAAAUCUGGAUUCAUGCUGAAAUAUUUUAACUACAAACUGGGUACGAAAUUAUGGCACUGAAUACCAGGUUUGGACUGUAUUUAUGUACUGCAAUGUUCAAUGAUCUACCUGUGUUUAAUACAACUUGUCAUAUUAUAAUACAUGAACAGCAGGCAUUCAUAAUAAGCUGUACUGCCAACACUUUGUACUUUGAUGAACAUACCGUAUUGAAGAAAAAAAAUAAUGAGCAUGUUAUUAUUUGCAUCGGCAAGCUCACCUAUGUCAGACCUUUUGAUAGGCAAUAUUCUAAUAAAAGUGAGAACAUGUAUAUUGUUCCACAUUGCUACAUGUUUUGAAAAAUAUUUUCUAAUUGUGGUGCACUUUUGAAAUAAAUAUUUGCUGAGAAAAACUAA